GUCUACGGCCAUGCCACCCUGAACCAGCCCAAUUUCAUCUGAUCUCAGAAGCCAAGCAGGGUCAGGCCUGAUUAGUACUUGGAUGGGACCACCUAGGAAGACCAGGUGCCAUAGGAG
rnacentral:rRNA from 1 species